GAUGAACGCUGGCGGCGUGCCUAAUACAUGCAAGUCGAGCGAACAGACGAGGAGCUUGCUCCUCUGACGUUAGCGGCGGACGGGUGAGUAACACGUGGAUAACCUACCUAUAAGACUGGGAUAACUUCGGGAAACCGGAGCUAAUACCGGAUAAUAUAUUGAACCGCAUGGUUCAAUAGUGAAAGACGGUUUUGCUGUCACUUAUAGAUGGAUCCGCGCCGCAUUAGCUAGUUGGUAAGGUAACGGCUUACCAAGGCAGCGAUGCGUAGCCGACCUGAGAGGGUGAUCGGCCACACUGGAACUGAGACACGGUCCAGACUCCUACGGGAGGCAGCAGUAGGGAAUCUUCCGCAAUGGGCGAAAGCCUGACGGAGCAACGCCGCGUGGGUGAUGAAGGUCUUCGGAUCGUAAAACUCUGUUAUUAGGGAAGAACAAAUGUGUAAGUAACUAUGCACGUCUUGACGGUACCUAAUCAGAAAGCCACGGCUAACUACGUG
rnacentral:rRNA from 1 species